rnacentral:sRNA from 1 species
UGCAAUAACAACAACAACAAAAAACAACAAAAAAA